ACGGCGCGCGUGCGACACGAGGAAGCCAAGCGAAGAUCGGUUCGGUCUCCCCCGGGAGUGGCGUCUCUCCGUGACCGACGCAUAGAGACAUGGUAAACGGCACAGAAGCGAGUCGAGCCGAGCCUCGCCGUCGUCAACCCUGCCUCGCGUGCCGGGUCGAGUACGAGGAGGACGGAAGCGGCGACGACGGUUCCUCGUCGUCGAGAAUUUUCCUGUGUGGUCUCGCCGCGCGAACGGCGACGAUAUUUUAGAGUGGCGGACCGGUCGAUUUUAUACUCGCCGGCGACGGUGCCCGGGGUCUCUUAACGCGCCGGGGCGCUUCCUAUGUCGCGUCGACGAUCGUUAAUAUGCCCGAGGGUCGUCCUCAGCGCGGCAGCGACGUGAAAUACUGCGACGCGUUCCGUCCCGACGCUUCGCUGCCGUUUCACGUGCCGUCGCGCCGUCCGGCGCGAGUCGUUUCCACGUUAACGCGCCGCUAUUUCGUGGCUAUCAGCUGGUUCCGCCGCUCGCGCGCGAUUCGCCGCGAUAAUUACGUCCGAAACCGGCUACCCUCCCUUGGCAGAAGGCGAGAUCGAUUGCUCAAUUCGCCUGCCCGGAUUCGACAAGCGGAUCUCCGGAGAUGACGAUCAUAAGAGGACACACGUGUGCGAGCGUAACGUUUUUUGCAAGAGAUGCCCGAGGAACAAGGACGGAGGGCUGUCGCGAAAACCGGUCGGACAAAGACAUCGGGAUAAUGGAUGCAGCGAUCCGUGGCCGUAAAAGGGGAAGAAGAGAACGUCUGUUGUGCGUGUCGGCUCCGCGGCGAAAAAGAAGCGUACAUAAGUAUGUGCCCGACGAAUCGCAAAACCGCGCGUUAACGCGCCUGCACACUCGAUAUUCGCGCCUCCGAACCACAAGUGAUAAAAACAUCCAAGGCGAUUAACAGGCAGCGCGUUAAACGGUUCGUAAGUAUGUAUUAAUACACUGUUGAAUUUUUCAUUAUUAAUAGUUUGCAAUGAAUCAUUACAACCGCAUAGAGUGCUACGGUGAGUGAAUUUUCAGAUGUUAAUUCCAAAAAUACAGUUAUUCAGAUUUUGAUAGUUUAAAAUAGUAUUUAAUAAGAUAUUUUUUAUACUAAAAGUGUUAAUUUGAUUAUUCUUACAAUUAAAUGUUAAAAAAUCUUUAUUAUAUAGAUCAAUUUUUAUUCAUAGUAAAAUUAACAUCAGAAAAGUGUAAGAGAAAAUAUUAGCACUCUAGAAUUAAUAAUAAAUAUAUGCAUCAUUCAUACACGUUAUUGUUCUUUUAUAUUAAAUAUCUUGAAAGCUUUUACGAUUGAAAGUUCAGUGUCCUUAAUUAGUAGCCUCUCUUCAUUAACGACGAUUCUUCCGUAUCAUCGAACUCAUUCCUCCCCCUCCGCAUUUCUUAAUUUCUUCUUAAUAAAACAGAAAAUUCUCACUUGAUCAUUUAUUGCCAUACAGAGCAUGAUACGCGAUUUUUUGCGCGCAAAUAUACGUAUAUAUCUUUAUAAUGGCUGCGAGGAAGUGCGAUGGAAAGAAAGAAAGAAAGAAAGAAAGAAAGAAAGAAAGAAAGAAAGCGUAUACAGAUGUAAAUAGGCAAAUGCACCUGCAGAUCCAUAAAUUGAUAGCUUUGUGUUUAUAUAUGAGAAUGUUCGAGACACCGAGACAGGAAGUAACACCGGUAUAAUUUCAGUUUAGACACCGUUGCUAUAAAGCAGCGGAAAUGUUAUUUGUUCGUAUAUAGUUAUGAAUAUAUCUAGGACAAUAUAAAACGAAAUAAAUCACAUAUAUCGAUGAACAUCCAAUCGCUUCUCAAAAGUAUCGCGGAAAAAGGGAAAAUGAGACGUAUACGUGCGCUCGCGCGACGUAAAGGAAAGCAAAACUUCCUCCUGCAAUAACCACUCCCAUCUCCGACAUAUUCGAAUCAAUAUAUCGAUAUAGGGGGAGGAUCGCUUCUCACGAUGCAGCUGCAUCGGGCUGGUUGGUGCCGCAAAGUGUGAGCUUCGCCUCGCAUCACCGCCUUCGCCUCGGAAUUUCGUGAGAUUGCAACCAACAUCCGCGGGUGGUCCUUUUUAAUUUCCUGUCCAGGAUGCGCCUGGACCGCCGCUCCGUAGCUCCGGGGACAGGGAGCACACCGGUGUGGAACGAAAGGAGACAGAAGGGCGGUAGAUAGAGAAGCGACUUACAGUUGCUGAGCCGGAAUUCGCGCGAAUUCUUAAAAUUCCGGAUUUAACUCUCCUGAAGGAUUAAAGCGCGACCUAUUCGAAAAUGUCCAAGUGCCAAAGAACUUGCACGACUUUUUUUUCCCUUCUCUCUAUCGCCCUUUUCUUUCCGCGCUUCUGAAGGCAGUACUUUCUUUCAUCUUUGACGGAGUUUUACUACACUUGGGGUGGGCAUUUUUUUUUUCUUUUGCCAAAGUGACUUAUGCGAAUACAUAUUUAUGCCUGGCUGUACAGUCGCUUCCUGUACGUAACAUGUAUGUAUUAUAAAUGACAAAAAAUCCUUUCGGAAAAACAUCAAAUCUUGUUCGGCACAUCUCGAUCGAGGGUAAGGAAAUGGGAGGAGCGUAUGGCGCGUCGGUAAGUGGAUUCGUUCCGUGUACGGCAUCUCAGAGAUGUAUGUAUAUGUAAAAACCAUGAGCGCGCUCCUCUCGGAAACCUUCGUGACACACGUUACUCGAAAAUAGAAAGAGUUGUGCCGGGGGAAACGUCCAAUAAGCCAGGUCGUUUCUGACUCGUGAGCGACGAACAGCCAGCCCAUUUUUAGGGCACGCAAAGAGCGAGAUACAAUCUCCCAUUGCAUUUUCAAAUGUAGGUUUAAUUAAUGACAUAACUCACGCGUUGAAUGUUGGCCGGUAAAUCUUCUUGCUCGCGAGGCUCCAUUGUACCGGGCGAAAUUGCGAUUUCAGCGAAUUAAGAGUACAUCUCUAUUUUCGCGAAUGCACCGAAUAAUUGAAAAAAUGUACGACAGUAAUUUUGUCAAGUUGGCGAGGAUAUAACGAUAUUGAAUUGGCGAGACGGUAGUUUUCCUCCCAGAAAGCAAUAUUUGGAUGACAGCUUGACAAAGCUGUUACACCAGCGUGAAAGCAGUUGAUAAAGAAGCUACGUAUAACAUGAUAAAAAGUUGUAAUCGAAAGGAACUAACACAAUAAGUUGAAAUCAAAAUCCGUAGGAUUUUGUAACGUGCCAUCCAGGGGUAAAAAAAAAAACACUUUUCGUAAUAAUUCGUUUAUCAACGAUCUUAAUUUUCAUUCUCUAAGUGAAUUUUAAUUCCGAAAAUAAAACAAAGAAAAACACAUUACUGUAUUCUUUGAUCAUUUUAGCGUGAAAAAAAAAUGGAACGCAAUAAGCUAAUGUGUUUAACUUAAUCGUUUCUGUCACUUUUACGAAGGCGUACAUAUAUUCACGACGUAAAAGUUUUGGCGAAAACGGAGCGCGUCGAAUAACAUCUUAUGCUCGGCGCUGUGUUAAAAUAUUUUGUAUCGCGCGAGAAAAAGAGCGUCUCGUAUUGUCACGCGUUCGACCCUUUUUUACAUACCGUCAUAUAACGUUAAUGGAACGAGCAUUUCGCCGCGCAUAUACACGAAUAAGGCGCAUUGCAGACGAUAGUACACGCUACUGCCAAGUAUGUAAAAAGGCGCGAGCGAGCCAGAUAUCAUUCUUUGAUCUCUCUGUCUUCGUAUUGCUACCCUUGUCGAGAAUCGUGAUAAAGUUUUCGACGAUUGCUGGAGCUACAUAGAUCAGCCACCUCUCUUUCUCACGUUUUUAGAUGCCGUUGCUUUUAUGUCGCGACGACCGCGCGGAAUCGCGCGCCCGAGAUGAUAAAAAUUUAUGGAGAUAGAAGUAAAUUGACAUCCCCCAUAGAGCAAGUUCCGUCGCUCUCUGUUCGAGAGAUCGUUAACUUUCAAGUAGAUAGAAUCGAAAGGUAACGGUGAAAAUAAUAGAUGGGAUCAGCAACGUGUCAAAUAUUGAUUGGGCGUGGAUGUGCUUUGAGACGAGUGUAUCAGAGACAUAAAUAUGUCGCAGAAAUGUGUUAUCGUUACGUUUUAACUGUGAAUACUUGGAUUUGAAUACAAUUACGGAACCGCGUAAAAUCCUGUUCGCGUGCGAGAAAUAUUACGUAUGUUGUCAGUACGACGAUUAUUGAAACAUCCCAUGAAUAAUUUAGAAGUAGUCAAAGAUCGAAUGCGAAUAGACGUGAAGAGGUUUUAAGAUUUCAGAAGCUUCCCUUGCUCCUUUAGCAGAGUACAGUUUACAUGAAAAAUACAAAGAUUUUACUUUUGAAGAUUAUUUUACAUUAUUAUGUGUUAUUUAUUACAAGUAAUAAAUACAUAUGAAAGAGAAUAAAUAAACUGAAUUUGUAACAUAAGAAGUUAUUUGGAAUAUAUUUUGAGGUCAAAUUAAAAAUAUUAAAACAAAUGAGAGAAUGCAAUGUGCGCGAAAUAUUUAUUGCAAGAACUGAAAAACAAUCAGUUAACACGGGAAAUUCGCCAACUCGGUUUGCAUUGAACUUUAUUAACUCAAUUUAUAUUUUAUUUUUAUAAUAUUUGUAUAUUAUUUACGUAUGACCUGUUUAUUUAAGAUCAAAAAACAACAUUUUUGAAACAAAUUUACUUUCGUCAAAAGCAGUUCUAUCUUUUUCUAUAUAUUUUUUAACUAUAUUUUUUUUAAUGCUUUAAUUAAUUUCGUAAUACAAUAUCGCUGAAAUCACAUUUAUUAUCGAAAACGAUUAUAAAAUUAUAAAACUAUAGUUUACAUAACUGUAGAAGCGUUUAAUAUUUAAAAUAGCGAACAGUUUCUAAAAUCAACCAUUUCAAACAAGAUUUAAAUUUUAAACUGUUGAUUUUAGAAAUUGUCCGAAGAUAGUAAUGGUUUUUCUACAUUUAAGUGAAGAAGAUACGCGGACCUAACGAAAAUGCGAACGAUAUUGCGAAAAGAGGUCGCGAGCUUAACAAUGCAAUUAAAGGACAUCGUUACUGGAACCGGCCACAACUUGGCGUGCAAUCGCGGGGCUCUCGACGGAAAUACAUUACGCGUGAGAAAGAAAGAAAGAGAGAGAGAGAGAGAGAGAGAGAGAGAGAGAGAGAAAGAAAGAAAGAAAGAAAGAAAGGUGGGGUUACGUUGCGUUAUUGUUCCGCGAAUAACGGCAUUGCCAUACCUCUUUCGACGGCGAUGCGGCGCAAAGUACCCUGGACGCGCAAUGCACCGCCGCCGCCGCCGGGGCGUAGGUUUCUGUGUAGCUGCACUUAGAAACCGCUCGGCGUUCGCGGGGAGAGCGCAAUUUACACCCCGGUCGAGGAAUCGUAGCCCCGGUAGCCGCGCGCGAUUUAGAUUUACGCCUUUUCACGAGGCGAGUUCGAACGCAGCGCGUAUACACGCCCGUCGUCGAAAUAAAGUAAACGAGCGACCGAACGAGCGAGAACGACUCGUCGUCUAGCGGCAUUUGCCUCCCUCCCCCCCUCCCCCAUCCCGUCUCUUUCUCUUGGCUGCUCUGCAAGAUGUAGAGCACUAAAUCACAACGACUAUCGCCGCCGAGGGAAAUAUAGCGGAACCGCGACGGUUCUCUCGUUGUUUCGACAACGAUGUUAAUGGCACAAACGAGGCAAAUAGGACAGAGGCGAGCCGAACGGGCGCGCGAGAUUUACGGAUGGAGCGGAGCGAGGCGAACACAUCCGCGACAACAGCAUCGGAGAACACGGACGGGAUUGUAGCAAGUAUACUCCGGUAUCCUGCGGGUCCUGGCUAUCCGGUCCGAGAAGCCGUUUCGACAGGCAAGCCAAGCAGGCAGGCAAGCAGGCAGGCAGGCAGGCAGGCAAGCAGGAAGGAAGGAAGGAAGGAAGUCUCUCGGUCGUGUGGCUCACAAGGACUGCAGAACUACACGCUACCAAAUAACAUGCAAAUUCAAUACUCUUACCGUGAGAUCGGUUCAAAGCAUCUCAAAGACGAUAGUAGCUAGAUGGUUUACGGCCCUACAAAUUCGCGCAGGUGGCUUGCCACGUGAGACAUUGCGUCGGGGAUACCGUGUACCUGACAAUUAAGGAAACAUUCCAACUCCGUGCGCCUCAAACAAAUUACGAAAUGAUUGCGACGCGAAAACGAGCUCUCUGUUGUGCAUUUUCGCUCGCGACACGUGCUUUCGCUUUAAGAGAGUUUCAACCUUCGCGUAUAAACGAAAAGAAAAUUAGUUUUAUUAAUGCGCGGGAACAACGCGAAAGAGCCCCGCGCGUACGUACAUACGAAAUAUCACGCUCCUCUCCUUUUAACCACCAGUUUUCUUUUUUCAAUUAUUUAAAUUCAAUUUUCCCUCGGUGAUUACUUUAUGGAAUAUCUAAUUAUGAAAAUACUUUUAUUACUGAAGAAUAACAUGAUUUCACUUAAUUUCAAUUUAAUAAAAAAAUUUAAUAUCGAACUGAAUUCAGUUUUAGCAUAAAAAAAUUUGAAGAAGCUUUGCAAAUAAUAUUCCAUUAAAUUUCGACGGAGAAAAAGUCGGUUAAAUAUUAAAAUAAAUUAAAUAGGUCUGAAAUAUAGUAUCAAACGCAUAUGCAAGGCAUCGCGCGCUAAGCUGUAUGUUCAUAUUUAAAGAUAAAUGGCAUAUUAUGAAGAAUGAAGAAUGGCAGUGGCGAUUAAAUGCCGCAUCAUUUAAUCGAAAUGUUUCAACCGCGCGGGCAUAAACUAUACCAUCGCGCGGACGGCGCAUCGACAUACAUAAUUUAAUGUCGAAAUAACGUCGACGGUGCAUUUUGCUAAAAAUUUUCAAUUUCCAAUGAGCGCGGCCGCCGCGACGCGGUAACACAUAAUUGAUGUGGGCCUCCGUAAUUCAAACUAUUUCGCCGUAAAUUACGCGUGAGGGAUAUUCGUAAUAACAAUAAUUACAAUAAUCUGAUGGAGACUGGCACGGGUAUCGGCACAGAAGCAAAUGCAAUUAGCGCACGCCACAUUGGACCGAGGGUAUCUGAAAUUGAUGAGCUAGUUAGAUAGGUUCUCGGCACGCCGGAUUUAGGUAUAGAGCUAGGGGGUAGCGUUGUGCCGCUGACCGAAAACUACCGUCGCAAGAAAUUUGCAUCCGCUAAACCUCCGAGUGCGCAUUGCGAAACAAACCAACCGCGGGUCAAGCGUCGCGUAAACGUUCAUUAGAAAAAUACCUCUUAGCUCGCGUCUUUUCUUUUUCCUAACUCUUACUCCAAUCCGUUGUGUUUUAUAAAGCCCUAAAAACACGAAAUUCCGUAUGACAAUUCUCUUCGUUCGGAUAAAAACCUUCGAAUUUCUCCUCUCGCUCGUUGACGUUAUUCUAUAUGACCGAGCUUAACACAUAUUACGAAAGACUUAUUCCGACUUCUCCAAGUCCCUUAAAUCGGCUUUAGGAGAGAACUCGCUCCGUUCUCUCGGGCAUUCAAUUAUCGUCCGACGAAUUCCAAGUCGGAGCUCUCGGUAGUGAGAUUUUUAAUAAAUGUCACCUGUAAAGUGAUAUGAAUGAGGAAACCCCGUGAAAUCUUCCGCCGUAAACCGGUAUAAAACCACGGCCGAAGGUUUACCGAGCGCACCCAUACGUGAAACGCGCGCGUCGACGACAAAACCGGUUCCCCGCGAACGAUCACCUACGGCUCUACGGAUGUGUGACAGGAGUCAACGUCUCCGGGAUGUCCCCUGCGCCGUAAUCUUCGCUGUCGUACAAGCGCGCGGCCCCUCGCUACGGUGAAUCUUCGGGAGGAGUGGCUAUGCAAAGAGAGCGGCGGCACGCCCGAUUCGCCUUUAUGCGCCCGGGGCCCCCCUUCCUUAAUGCCUAUCCCCCGGGGUUCUUCAUCGCCGAGAAAUACGCGCCGCGUAUAAGCGGGCCUGGAUUACCCAGAAAGCACCGGUGAGCUCCGCGUUUUGAAUAGGCAAAUAGGUUUACUAAAUUCCGCGGGAUUAAGCGGACACGAGUAAAUGAAGCGAGAAGCUAAGUAAGGAAGCUACGUACACAACACGAUUGUGUGCAUGUUGCUGGAUACGCAACCGCUGAAUCCGCUUCAUUAAUUUACGCCACAUAACAAUUAAAGCUGCAUAACUUUGUGGUAUGUAAAUUGCGCGCGUAUAUAACACAAUUUUCGUCCAAUUAAUAUACCGGUGAACGCAUGGGGUUCCUCUCGUGAGCUAUCACCGUAACACGAAACACGGACAACGUUGUUAUCAAUGACGCGAUAAGAAAUUUACAACUUAUGAGAUUAUCAAUCGAAUAAUACCGAAUUCUCUUUCUCUUAUUGACUCGUCAGAUGAUAUUUUAUUUGUCGAGUAAAUUAUUUCGGCCGGCAUAAAAAGGAUUUCGUUUUGUUCGAUCAAGAUACCGUUGCGCAUUUCACCUGUCGGGUCGUUUUCACGGCAUCUUCGAUGAAAUAUUGGGAUAUAAACCUUUUUAUAGGCUCACUUAACCAACGUGUUCCUCGAGCAUUUAUUUUUAAAGAGAAUAUUUCAACUGUGUGUCACACAAGG